CUGCGCUUUGACAUAUAUGACAUUGACUCCAAAAGUCCUGAUCUAGCCAAACACCUGUGCAAAACUGAAGAAGAGGUGAGAUUAAAAUCUCUCUUUGACUUAUAAUAGUACAAGAAAACAGGUUC